AGAGGGAGCAAGCGUUGUUCGGAAUUACUGGGCGUAAAGGGCGCGUAGGCGGCUUAACAGGUCCCGUGCGAAGUCCUUCGGCUCAACUGAGGAACGGCACGGGAAACUGUUUGGCUUGAGUUCGGGAGAGGGAAGCGGAAUUCCGGGUGUAGCGGUGAAAUGCGUAGAUAUCCGGAGGAACACCGGUGGCGAAGGUGGCUUCCUGGACCGACACUGACGCUGAGGCGCGAAAGCUAGGGGAGCAAACGGGAUUAGAUACCCCGGUAGUCCUAGCUGUAAACGAUGAGUGCUGGGUGUAGGGGGUAUCUACCCCCCCUGUGCCGAAGCUAACGCAUUAAGCACUCCGCCUGGGGAGUACGGUCGCAAGGCUG
rnacentral:rRNA from 1 species